rnacentral:lncRNA from 1 species
CCAAAUUCUUAAUUAAUUUCCAGAAUAGCAAAUGUUUCCCUUUUAUAAGGUACAACACAUAGAACACGCUAACUAAGUAGUUCCUUAGCUACAUUGUAAAAAUUAAAUAGGUUCCACUAAUUAAACAAAUAAGCUAGACUAAUUAAUAAUAAAAUCAUCCAGCCGUUUAGGUUUGAAACGGAUUCUGGAGGGCCUCUUCCCCAACGUUGAGCAGCUAUCUGCAACAGGGUUUUUCUCAACGAUCUCCUCCGGCGAGCUCUAUUCCUCCGAGGUCAUCAGACGGCGACGGGAAUCCUCCAGUACUCCAUCGCAGCUCCGGGCGACUCUAUCAGGAAAUUUGGUAAUAUUCAAUCUAUUAUAAUAAUUCGACAUCCCAGAAUGUCCUUUCUUGAAGCAAAUUUGGCACGUGACGUACUUUAGAUUCUUUGCAGAUUUUCUGUCUCCUUCACUUACAACGUUGAUACUUAGUGGUGAUGCGGCAUUUGUUCGAUUCUGCAGGUGCGAUUCAACAUCAAGAAACAUCUGAUAAGUGACGUGCUCAUUCCUUUAGUGACUCCAAGAUACUUUAUGUAUAAGAGAUGAGUAUUCUUCACCGAGUUCUCCCAACACCAACAACAAAAUGUCCGCAUCGUUCAAUUUCUCCCUGGCGAUAUUCAAUGCUUCCAAGAUCAUGUUUAUUUCUAUAACAUAUUCUGUAACCAUUCUUCCUCCUUUUCUUAUGAUUUGGAGUUUUUGUCGAAUAUUUAUCACCUGUGACCUGAAGCUUGACGCGAACUCAUCCUGCAACGUGCUCUAUGCUUCAUUGGAGGUCUUGCAACCAGUCAGCUUGGGUAAAAUUUCUGGCGCUAUACACAUCAUCAUCCAACUUAAAAUCAGUUGAUCUUGCUUGUACCUUACCGGUGUGUUUAGUUCGAUUUCUCUGGUUAGGUAACCUUCUAUCUUAUUACCUCGAAGGACCACGGCGAAUUGCGUACGCUAAGUGAAGUAAUUCUGCUUGUCUAGUGUCACCGUCUUGAGAUACCUAAUGACAACGAUCUCCUCCAAUCGUAUACGAUAUUCAACUGAUUUCGUUAGCAUCUUCUUGGUGGCUCCAUUCUUCUCAUCGUUCUCCAUUUUGCGCAAUGGAUUGAGUAAAAAAAACUGGAAAAGUAGGAAAGAUCUAGAUGUUCCAUGUGAUUGAUACCAUAUUAUGCUCAGAAUUGAUCUUGGAGGAAAC